rnacentral:rRNA from 1 species
UACGUAGGGUGCGAGCGUUAAUCGGAAUUACUGGGCGUAAAGUCUGCGCAGGCGGCCGCGCAAGUCGAGUGUGAAAUCCCCGAGCUUAACUUGGGAAUUGCGCUCGAAACUACGUGGCUGGAGUGUGGCAGAGGAAGGUGGAAUUCCACGUGUAGCGGUGAAAUGCGUAGAGAUGUGGAGGAACACCGAUGGCGAAGGCAGCCUUCUGGGCCAACACUGACGCUCAUGCACGAAAGCGUGGGGAGCAAACAGG